CGCGGGCUUCGGCCUGGCGGCGAGUGGCGAACGGGUGAGUAAUAUAUCGGAACGUACCCAAGAGUGGGGGAUAACGUAGCGAAAGUUACGCUAAUACCGCAUACGAUCUAAGGAUGAAAGCAGGGGAUCGCAAGACCUUGUGCUCCUGGAGCGGCCGAUAUCUGAUUAGCUAGUUGGUGAGGUAAAGGCUCACCAAGGCAACGAUCAGUAGCUGGUCUGAGAGGACGACCAGCCACACUGGAACUGAGACACGGUCCAGACUCCUACGGGAGGCAGCAGUGGGGAAUUUUGGACAAUGGGGGCAACCCUGAUCCAGCAAUGCCGCGUGAGUGAAGAAGGCCUUCGGGUUGUAAAGCUCUUUUGUCAGGGAAGAAAAGGCUGUGGCUAAUAUCCGCAGCUGCUGACGGUACCUGAAGAAUAAGCACCGGCUAACUACGUGCCAGCAGCCGCGGUAAUACGUAGGGUGCAAGCGUUAAUCGGAAUUACUGGGCGUAAAGCGUGCGCAGGCGGUUUCGUAAGUCUGUCGUGAAAUCCCCGGGCUUAACCUGGGAAUGGCGAUGGAGACUGCGAGGCUAGAGUUUGGCAGAGGGGGGUAGAAUUCCACGUGUAGCAGUGAAAUGCGUAGAGAUGUGGAGGAACACCGAUGGCGAAGGCAGCCCCCUGGGUCAAAACUGACGCACAUGCACGAAAGCGUGGGGAGCAAACAGGAUUAGAUACCCUGGUAGUCCACGCCCUAAACGAUGUCUACUAGUUGUUGGGUCUUAAUUGACUUAGUAACGCAGCUAACGCGUGAAGUAGA
rnacentral:rRNA from 1 species